GCCUGCCACUUGGCAGGGAGAGAGCGCGUCUGCCAGCGUGGCAGGGUGGGCGCUAAACAUAGCCGGGCGGUUCAACAGGCUUUGCUGCAGCAGCUUGUUUUCAUCUGCUGGGAAAAUGCAGGGCCCAGGGGCUGGGUCUCAUCGGGACCCUGGAAUUCCCUUGUUUGGCAGAACUUGUUACUGGAACCCCAUGCCAAGGCAGAGCAACAGCGGCUGAGAGGCUCUGUAACCGCCCCGAGUCACAUGACUGCUAAGUGGACAAACUGACUUUGGAAUUCAACACCGUCUGAACAUCUGUGUUGCCAGCUUUUGGCCUAGUUAUUGUUCUGUUUUAAAGGUUUUUUUUACUAACUGAAUGGCUUUCACAAAUAUUACAUAUUAUUAAAAUACUAUCUUCCUUUUA